UCCUCGUUAGUAUAGUGGUAAGUAUCCCCGCCUGUCACGCGGGGGCGGGAGACCGGGGUUCGAUUCCCAGACGGGGAG